rnacentral:rRNA from 1 species
UGGCUUGGAAGCAGCCAUUCAUUUAAAGAGUGCGUAACAGCUCACUAGUCGAGCGGUCCUGCAUGGAUAAUACGCGGGCAUAAGCAUAUAACCGAAGCUAUGGGAUUGUAGAUGAUACAAUCGGUAGGAGAGCAUUCCAUUCAGCGUAGAAGCAGUACCGUGAGGUAUUGUGGAGCGGAUGGAAAAGCAAAUGUAGGCAUAAGUAACGAUAAUGCGGGUGAGAACCCCGCACGCCGAAAGAUCAAGGAUUCCCCGGCAAUGUCAAUCAUCCGGGGGUAAGUCGGAUCCUAAGGGUAAGCCGAGUGGCGAUCCCGAUGGCAAACAGGUUAAUAUUCCUGUACUGAUCAUAACUGCGAUGCAGCGACGCAGAGGUGACACUGCUGCGUACUGACGGAAUAGUACGUUGAAACCCGUAUUCUUUGAUACCGGUAGUGAAGCACGCCGGUAGAGAUGAAAGGUGAUAGUACCGCAAUGCUUCGGUUGCGCGGAUAAUGCAGGUAAGCUGACUGCCAAGAAAACCUGCUAAGCUUCAGGUAAUGAUCAUCCGUACUGUAAACGGACACACGUGAUCAGGUAGAAAAUACUAAGGCGCUCGAGAGAUUCAUGGUUAAGGAACUAGGCAAACUGGCCCUGUAACUUCGGGAUAAAGGACGCUCUUGUGAAAGAGCCGCAGAUAAUAGGCCCAGGCGACUGUUUACCAAAAACACAUGGCUAUGCUAAUUCGCAAGAAGAUGUAUAUGGCCUGACACCUGCCCGGUGCCGGAAGGUUAAGAGGAGAGCUCAGAGGCAACUCGAAGGUUUGAAUUGAAGCCCCGGUAAACGGCGGCCGUAACUAUAACGGUCCUAAGGUAGCGAAAUUCCUUGUCGGGUAAGUUCCGACCUGCACGAAUGGUGUAACGAUCUGGGUACUGUCUCAACCAUGAGCUCGGUGAAAUUGUAGUUCCGGUGAAGAUGCCGGAUACCCGCAACGGGACGGAAAGACCCCGUGAACCUUUACUGCAGCUUUGCAUUGAUUUUGGGUAACAGAUGUGUAGGAUAGGUCGGAGGCUUUGAUGCUGCGUCGUCAGGCGUAGAGUAGCCGUCGUUGAAAUACGACCCUUUUGUUAUCUGAGGUCUAAUCCCGUUAGGGAGACAUUGCAUGGUGGGUAGUUUGACUGGGGUGGUCGCCUCCAAAAGUGUAACGGAGGCUUCUCAAGGUACCCUCAAGGCGUUUGGUAAUCGUCUGCAGAGUGCAAUGGCAUAAGGGUGCUUGACUGUGAGACCGACACGUCGAUCAGGUUGGAAACAAGAGCAUAGUGAUCCGGUGGUUCCGCAUGGAAGGGCCAUCGCUCAAAGGAUAAAA